CUUCAUUAUAGAAAACGUUGGAAUUUCUUCCCCCCAAGGGGCCAAAACCACGGGCGGGGACAACAAGCAUCUAAAGGGGGGAAAAAACUUUUUUCGGGUUUAUAAAACUUUUUUUUUUUCCGGGAAUUUUAAUUAUUUUUAAGCGUAUCUUUAAGAAAAUUAAGUCUUUGGCUAAAUUACCUUUCCCCUGCCAGCCCCGCCGGUAAUUACGGUGGGAAGCAAGCCUUAUUCCCGAAUGUUUGGGCGUAAAAGAGUCCGUAGGGUGGCCCUGUAAUUCUGCUGUUAAAGCGCCAUGCUUAACCUUAUAAAGGCAGUGGAAACUACAAAACUAGAGUGCGUUUGGGGUAGAAGGAAUUCCUGGUGUAGCGGUGAAAUGCGUAGAGAUCAGGAAGAAAACAGGUGGGGAAAGCGUUCUGCUAGGCCGCAACUGACACUGAGGGACGAAAGCUAGGGGAGCGAAUGGGAUUAGAUACCCCCGUAGUCCUANCCGUAAACGAUGGAUACUAGGCGUGGCUUGUAUCGACCCGAGCCGUGCCGGAGCCAACGCGUUAAGUAUCCCGCCUGGGGAGUACGCACGCAAGUGUGAAACUCAAAGGAAUUAACGGGGGCCCGCACAAGCGGUGGAGUAUGUGGUUUAAUUUGAUGCAACGCGAAGAACCUUACCAGGACUUGACAUGUCGCGAAUUUUCCUGAAAGGAAAAAGUGCUUCGGGAGCGCGAACACAGGGGGGGCAUGGCAGUCGUCAGCA
rnacentral:rRNA from 1 species